UAGCUCAGUUGGUAGAGCAGUUGACUUUAAUCACUGGUCGCAGGUUCGAAUCCUGCACGACCCACCAAUCGUUCGGUGUGAAACGAGAAUAAAACGUGGCGAUAACGUUGCGUCAGCAACGGUCUGCAGGGCGGUGGCGAAGCCGAGUCAUCCUGCACGACCCACCA
rnacentral:sRNA from 1 species